GUGAAUCAUCAAAUUUUUGAACGCAAAUUGCACUCUCCGGUUUUCCGUGGGAGAAUGCUUGUUUGAGGGUCAGCCUAAAAAAAAUCGACAUUGUUGCUGUUUUAUGUUGACUUUCUUCGCAGAUGGGUUAUCUUAAAUCUCUGUUUAAGCGACUUAAAAGUUUUUUUUGCGAUGCUAAGAAUGUUGCUAAGAUUUUUCUUGUACGUUUAGGGUAU
rnacentral:misc_RNA from 1 species